AUUGAACGCUGGCGGCAGGCCUAACACAUGUAAGUCGAGCGGCUGAAGGGAGCUUGCUCCUGGAUUCAUCGGCGGACGGGUGAGUAAUGCCUAGGAAUCUGCCUGGUAGUGGGGGAUAACGUCCGGAAACGGGCGCUAAUACCGCAUACGUCCUGAGGUAGAAAGUGGGGGAUCUUCGGACCUCACGCUAUCAGAUGAGCCUAGGUCGGAUUAGCUAGUUGGUUGGGUAAAGGCCUACCAAGGCGACGAUCCGUAACUGGUCUGAGAGGAUGAUCAGUCACACUGGAACUGAGACACGGUCCAGACUCCUACGGGAGGCAGCAGUGGGGAAUAUUGGACAAUGGGCGAAAGCCUGAUCCAGCCAUGCCGCGUGUGUGAAGAAGGUCUUCGGAUUGUAAAGCACUUUAAGUUGGGAGGAAGGGCAGUAAGUUAAUACCUUGCUGUUUUGACGGUACCAACAGAAUAAGCACCGGCUAACUUCGUG
rnacentral:rRNA from 1 species